GUAGGACUUGUAAGGAUGUGAGGUUAGGGAGAGGAUUCUGACUGUAGGAUUCUCGGGCAUCCAUCUUUGCAGUUUUUGGAAUAAAUCAUUCUGUUUGCAUCUUCUUCCUCCAGGGUUCUCUGAGCCUCAUCAGCUCGCCAUCAGCUUCAACUCUUCUUCUUUUGCAUUCUCUCAGUCCUUGCAGCCAUUUUCCUUGCUAAGAGAUUUCCGUUCCUGUUGUGUCCCCAGUGUUUGUCACGUCUUGUCUGUCCUGUGUCACGGGUGUCUGCACACAUUUGUGCUGGAGCUGCUGUUCUGCCCUGCUGCAUAUCCUGGUGCAAUAUGAGAAGUCUCAGGGACUUGGAAUUUGUAAUGUGUAGUUGGAUUCUAGAUGGGAUUUGUAGAUGGACACAGGAUACGUGGAGCCCAUAAGUUAUCCUGCAGCCCUUUCACUUUCAUCCUAACUUUCUUUUAGUUGCAGAAGGAUAAAUCCAGGGCAGAGCCCCCCAUUCUGGGUGAGGGGAUUCCCCUGUGAAGGUCAGUCACUGUUUGUCUCUGCAGAGGAAGCAUAAAUUGUGGCUGCUGCAGCUCUGCUCUUUGUCUUUAUUUUUAGGAAGUCAAGGCAGAGAGCAGCUGUCAAGGCUGAGUGGGCAAGAUGGACUGCUUGCCAUCUAUCCUAGCCCAGCAUGCCCAUGCCAGGUGCUGUCGCUGCCCUAGGCAUGCCGGGGAAGAGAGGAGGGCAGGUAUCUUCCGGGCGGCCUCUGGAGUCAAAUCAAGACUUGAGGUACCCUGGGCAGGCUUGUAGCCACAGCUUGGAAGCGGCAGCACCGAAGCGCACACAUUGAGAACGUCUCAACGUCCACGUCCGACCGAGGAUGGAUUUUGUCUGCUUGUCUUCCAAAAGCUAAGUGUCGGGGCCAGUGGUUGG